GACGAACGCUGGCGGCGUGCUUAACACAUGCAAGUCGAACGCUGAAGCACCAGCUUGCUGGUGUGGAUGAGUGGCGAACGGGUGAGUAAUACGUGAGUAACCUGCCCUUGACUCUGGGAUAAGCCCGGGAAACUGGGUCUAAUACUGGAUGCUACAUGUCACCGCAUGGUGGUGUGUGGAAAGGGUUUACUGGUCUUGGAUGGGCUCACGGCCUAUCAGCUUGUUGGUGGGGUACUGGCUCACCAAGGCGACGACGGGUAGCCGGCCUGGGAGGGUGACCGGCCACCCUGGGACUGGGACACGGCCCAGACUCCUACGGGGGGCAGCAGUGGGGAAUAUUGCACAAUGGGCGAAAGCCUGAUGCAGCGACGCCGCGGGGGGGAUGACGGCCUUCGGGUUGUAAACCUCUUUCAGCAGGGAAGAAGCCACAAGUGACGGUACCUGCAGAAGAAGCGCCGGCUAACUACGUG
rnacentral:rRNA from 1 species